rnacentral:rRNA from 1 species
CAUACGCCGCGUGAGUGAAAAGCCUCUGGGUUGUAAAGCUCUUUCGGCUGGGAAGAAGGGUCUACGUGCUAAUAUCACGUAGAUUUGACGGUACCAGAGGAAGAAGCACCGGCUAACUUCGUGCCAGCAGCCGCGGUAAUACGAAGGGUGCAAGCGUUGUUCGGAAUAACUGGGCGUAAAGGGCGCGUAGGCGGGUUGGUAAGUUAGAUGUGAAAUCCCCGGGCUUAACCUGGGAACUGCAUCUAAUACUGGCGAUCUUGAAUGUUCGAGAGGGUGGUGGAAUUCCCGGUGUAGAAGUGAAAUUCGUAGAUAUCGGGAGGAACAUCCGAGGCGAAGGCGGCCACCUGGCGAAACAUUGACGCUGAGGCGCGAAAGCGUGGGGAUCAAACAGGAUUAGAUACCCUGGUAGUCCACGCCGUAAACGAUGAAUGCUAGAUGUUCGGAGAGUUAACCCUCUGAGUAUCGCAGCUAACGCAUUAAGCAUUCCGCCUGGGAAGUACAGUCGCAAAGGCUGAAAAUCAAAGGAAUUGACGGGGGCCCGGACAAGCGGUGGAGUAUGUGGUUAAUUCGA